rnacentral:rRNA from 1 species
AUACGUAGGUGACAAGCGUUACCCGGAUUUACUGGGCGUAAAGGGCGUGUAGGCGGUCUUGCAAGUCAGAAGUGAAAUUCCUGAGCUCAACUCGGGCGCUGCUUCUGAAACUGCAGGACUUGAGUGCUGGAGGGGAUAGCGGAAUUCCUAGUGGAGCGGUAAAAUGCGCAGAUAUUAGGAAGAACACCGGUGUCGAAGGCGGCUAUCUGGACAGUAACGGACGCUGAGGCGCGAAGGCGGGGGGAGCAAACGGGAUAAGAUACCCUGGUAGUCCACGCCGUAAACGAUGAGUACUAGGUGUAGGGGGUAUCGACUCCCUCUGUUCCGCAGUUAACACAAUAAGCAUUCCGCCUGGGGAGUACGGCCGCAAGGUUGAAACUCAAAGGAAUUGACGGGU